AACGAACGCUGGCGGCAUGCCUAACACAUGCAAGUCGAACGAGACCUUCGGGUCGAGUGGCGCACGGGUGCGUAACGCGUGAGAACCUGCCCUUAGAUUCGGAAUAACUCCCCGAAAGGGGUGCUAAUACCGGAUAAUGUCUUCGGACCAAAGAUUUAUCGCCGUUGGAUGGGCCGGCGUUGCGUUAGCUAGGUGGUAGGGUAAAAGCCUACCAAGGCGACGAUCCAUAGCUGGUCUGAGAGGAUGAUCCGCCACACUGGGACUGAGCCACGGCCCAGACUCCUACGGGAGGCAGCAGUGGGGAAUCUUGGCCAAUGGGCGAAAGCCUGAUCCAGCAAUGCCGCGUGAGUGAUGAAGGCAUUAGGGUUGUAACGCUCUUUUACCCGGGAUGAUAAUGACAGUACCGGGAGAAUAAGCUCCGGCUAACUCCGUG
rnacentral:rRNA from 1 species